rnacentral:rRNA from 1 species
UGGGGAAUAUUGGACAAUGGGGGAAACCCUGAUCCAGCAAUGCCGCGUGAGUGAAGAAGGCCUUAGGGUUGUAAAGCUCUUUCGCCCGCGAAGAUAAUGACGGUAGCGGGAGAAGAAGCCCCGGCUAACUCCGUGCCAGCAGCCGCGGUAAUACGGAGGGGGCUAGUGUUGUUCGGAAUUACUGGGCGUAAAGCGUACGUAGGCGGAUGCGCAAGUUGGGGGUGAAAUCCCGGGGCUUAACCUCGGAAUUGCCCUCAAAACUGCACGUCUUGAGACCGAGAGAGGUAAGGGGAAUUCCUAGUGUAGAGGUGAAAUUCGUAGAUAUUAGGAAGAACACCAGUGGCGAAGGCGCCUUACUGACUCGGUACUGACGCUG